UACGUAGGAGGCAAGAGUUGUCCGGAUUUAUUGGGUUUAAAGGGUGCGUAGGCGGCCUGAUAAGUUAGUGGUGAAAUCGUGCCGCUUAACGGUAUACUCGCCAUUAAUACUGUCGGGCUUGAGUUAGUGUAAGGGAGAUGGAAUGCGUGGUGUAGCGGUGAAAUGCAUAGAUAUCACGCAGAACGCCGAUUGCGAAGGCAGUUUUCUGGCACUUAACUGACGCUGAGGCACGAAAGCGUGGGUAGCGAACAGG
rnacentral:rRNA from 1 species